rnacentral:rRNA from 1 species
CCUACGGGAGGCAGCAGUGGGGAAUUUUGGACAAUGGGCGCAAGCCUGAUCCAGCCAUGCCGCGUGCAGGAUGAAGGCCUUCGGGUUGUAAACUGCUUUUGUACGGAACGAAAAGGUUCUUUUUAAUAAAGAGGGCUCAUGACGGUACCGUAAGAAUAAGCACCGGCUAACUA